CCUACGGGAGGCAGCAGUGGGGAAUUUUCCGCAAUGGGCGAAAGCCUGACGGAGCAAUACCGCGUGAAGGAAGACGGCCUAUGGGUUGUAAACCUCUUUUCUCAGGGAGGAAAUCAAUGACGUUACCUGAGGAAUAAGCAUCGGCUAACUCCGUGCCAGCAGCCGCGGUAAUAC
rnacentral:rRNA from 1 species